CAGAAAUAAAUACAUGUAUUACAUUGUAGCCCAAUAAAACAACAAACAAAAUAAGCACAUCCAUUGUAUCCGCAAGGUUUUGGUUCGUAUUAAACAGGUAUAACUUUCACUUUAUUCAGUGUCUGCUUCAUUUUCUUCACUGUCAUCCAGGAGAUAGCCACCAGUAAGCUCAGAGGAUGGUGUGAGUCCCUUCAGGAAUGGCUCAUAAAAUUGACGACUGUUGGGAUGAAUGUAAGUUUCUUCCGCGCAUCCGCGAAUUCUCGGUGCGCGCCAUCCUGAUGUUGGCGCGAGACACCUCGCGAGCCCUGAUUCCACACCCUGUUUGACAGGGUCCAAGUUUCUGGGGAGACAAAUUGCUCCCCGCUUGAUCUUCGGGACCUCCAGCUGAUUUUCCCCUUAAGAAGAGUUUUGCUCCCGGUCCGACGUCAUCCUGGGAAGACCCGGGUGAUAUGAGCAAUAUAUUUUCCACCAAUAGAAUGAACUAAAUUCAUUAAAAAUAUACCAGCGAGCAGUGCCUUAAGAACUUAAUCCUCAAGAACAUGUAGA